GGACUGGGGCUCAGUGGUAGUGCACGCGCCUGGCACGUGUGAGGCACUGGGUUCAAUUCUCAGCACUGCG
rnacentral:tRNA from 1 species